rnacentral:lncRNA from 1 species
CUUGAUUCUACUUAGAGAGCAGUGACAGCAUCAGUUCCUUGUAGAUCAAGAACUUAUUGAAACGUGACAAAAAUGUGUUUCUUUGUUACGGUAGGCGAUCCACUGACCGGGAUGUUAGAUGCUUUGUCAAAUGAAUUUUCUGUCCAGCAAAUGGGUGGAGGGAUGCUAAGAGAUCUCCUUGCUGUUUCAGCUAAUCUUCCCGUAAGUUUUCCUUCUUAGAAACUCAUGAUCUAAACGUUUUUCCGUUUAUCAUCUACAAAUUUUCAAUACUAGUUCUAGUGUUCAUCUAGUAUUGUGAAUUUGUGAUCAUAAUAUAUUUUCAGACUCUUAGUAGGAUGUUCCCUAAGGAGACACUGCUUUGGAAGCUGGAAAUGCUAAAGUCUGCUAUUGCUUAUGUGAAUUCUCACAUAUACUCAGUCAGAGCGGAAACACUCAUACUUCUGAGGUCCAAUAAGUUUCUCUGUUUCACUGAUCAGCAUAAGUAUCUUUUACAUGUAAAGAGGUAUUUUAGCUUGGAGCAUAAGUGUAAGGGCUAUCUGGUUAUGACUAUUGCAGUGGACGCGAUCAAUGGCUGCUGAACAAGGAAGACAUUGACAGAUACUCGCGCACGUUGCCAAAAUGUAUUGUCCGUAAGCUCGAUGACAAUGGACAGUUUCCCCUUUUGGUAAGUGAUCUAUCUCCAUCCAAUACAGAAUUAUUGAUACUAGUUUUCCUCAUGAAUAUCGGAUCAUUCGUAAUCUACACUUCAACUAUCUUUUGUAUCUCAUGUUAGGAGGACGGCGUAGAUCUGGCUACUAUCAUCAAGUGUACUUGUUUUUAUCGCCGUGGGAAGUCUCAUGAUCACAUUACAGAUUAUAUUAUGCCUACUACAUUUGAGUUAAAACAACAAAUAGACGACCACCGGUAAAUGCCAAACUAAUAUCUUAGUUUUUUUGUGUAUGCUAAGAAAAACAAAUCAGAUUAUCAAGUAAAGAGUUAUAGGGGAUACUGAAUGAUAUAUUCCACGGUGCAGAUUACUAAUGGAUGGUACUUCUCCUGUAAUGUUGUCAACUUUAGAAGAUGACACAGUUGUAAGGAGCCUAGAAGGAUUACCUUCAGAGGGACCUGUUCUGUACGUUGGCUAUCACAUGAUAUUGGGAUUUGAGUUAGCUUCAAUGGUAACUCAACUCAUGAAAGAGAGGAACAUUCACCUGCGGGGUUUGGCACAUCCGAUGAUAUUUAAGAAUCUUCAAGACUCGUUGGUCGACACGAAGAUGUUUGACAAAUAUAAGAUAAUGGGUGGAGUUCCAGUCUCCCAGUUCAAUAUCUACAAACUACUUCGUGAAAAGGCUCAUGUGCUUUUGUAUCCUGGAGGUGUCCGUGAAGCUUUGCAUAGAAAGGUGAUGUAUAGUUUGUGAACUUUUUUCGGGUUUCUGCAUUCUUGAAACUUCUUAUUUUAGAGGCUUAAAUGUACAAAGAGACUUUGCAGGGUGAAGAAUAUAAGCUGUUUUGGCCAGAACGAUCUGAGUUUGUAAGAGUUGCAUCUAAAUUUGGAGCGAAAAUUGUUCCUUUCGGUGUUGUUGGAGAAGACGACAUCUGCGAAGUAAGAUUUCUCUACUCUAUUCCACUUCCUUCAAGUUACACGCUAGCAAAUCAUCAACUACUAAGUCUAUCUACAUUAUACUCGACAUUUUCAGUUUCUACCUACAUUCUACUUAGAGACAAUUUUGCACACUCAUAAUUAAAUUACAUUAAAACUAAUUAUAAAACAAAUCUUUAGACACCCACCAAAGAAUGAUCAAUAGAGAAUUAGAGAUGGUCGUAGCGUACUAGCAAGAAGGAGUGUCUCUGUAUUCAAAUGAUGAUAAACUCUACAUAUGCUCUACUUUAUAUUUACCCGAACCUCGGUUUAAUUUUGGUUUGGACAUUGAAUGAUUCUCAGAUUGUCCUAGAUUCCAAUGAUCAAAGAAACAUCCCUAUCCUAAAGGAUUUAAUGGAAAAGGCAACAAAGGACGCUGGCAACCUAAGGUGUUUUCAUCACAUACACACUCUAUAUAUAUAAUUACUCUUACAAGUAAAACUCAUAUGAACAUUGAUUUUGAACGUCAUAAUUAUUAGGGAAGGCGACGAGAGCGAAUUGGGAAACCAAGAUACCUAUUUCCCAGGACUUGUACCUAAGAUUCCGGGGCGGUUCUACUAUUACUUUGGAAAACCAAUAGAAACAGCAGGUAUGUAUGUCUUAAUGUUUCUCUCUACUUCAAAUCACCGAUAUAAAUACAUGCAAUAAUGGCGGGUUUUCUUUUCGUGGCAGGUAAGGAGAAAGAGCUGAAAGACAAAGAAAAGGCACAAGAGCUUUACUUGCAAGUCAAGUCUGAGGUCGAACAAUGCAUUGCCUAUUUAAAAGUAAAAAGAGAGAGUGAUCCUUACAGACACUUGUUGCCAAGGAUGUUGUAUCAAGCCUCACAUGGUUGGUCUUCUGAAAUUCCGACGUUUGAUCUCUAAAUUCUCUCUUUGAUUAUUGACGUUAUACUGUGGCUAGAUAUGUUGUACACAUCUAAUCAUGAUGUUUAGAGGUUCUAAGAUUCUUUAGGGAUCUAAGAUCUUUACUUGUGCAUGGAAAAAUAAGACAAGAUUAUUUAAUUGAAUUACUUUGGGAUUUCAAGUUUUAACCAAUUUGAGGUGGACUUAAUAUGAAAGUUUUGUGAAUGCUGUAUGUAAUGUGGCUUUAGGAUCAAACAAGCAUUUCAAUUACUCUGUUUAAAAUGAUGGAUUCUUGAUUUAUAUGCGAUCAAGGUAGAGGUAAUUUUUUUCAUUGCCAAACUCACAACCGAAGAAGAUCGAUGAUCUUUAAGUCUAGAUAGUUUUCUAAAAUCAAGUUAAAUACCUUUAAAAUACAUAUAAGGUUAAGAAAAGAAAAAAACCAAUUGAAGUUCAAACUAAUUAAUAGUUUCUAAAAUUUUGCUUUUGUUUUGUAGAAAUUUCAGAAGAGGAAACUUGCACGUCUAAAUUUAGUUUCUAAAUUAUAACAAGAUCCAAAAGGUCACUGUUGUUGCGAUGUGUUUAUAUCCAAAAAAUGUAUUUAUUUUUGCUCUAAACUCAUCUAAAUACAACAGAAGGUGUGAAAUAUGGACUUUUAGUCUAGCUAUAUACAGACAGAUGAAAACAAAACAUUCUCAAUUUUGCUGGAGUUUUUGCCUUGCUGAAACAAAUAAGGUUGUAUCCUAAUAGAUAUAUGUUCGGAAACGUCCUAAGAUAUACAUAUACAUAUGAAACAUAUCCGGGUUUUUUUUCUAUAAUAAGGGUUCUAUCUAUUUAUAUAUAUACAGAGAACUUUCAACGUGGUAGCUAGGCCUUGACAAAUUUUCCGACCCAGAAUAUCUGAAGUGGAACCAAACCGAAAAAGGGUUCGGAUCAGUUUUAGAUCCUUCAAAAUAUAUCAAUUGGAUCUCGGCUUCAACUACUUUUGGGUAUCGGUUCAGUUCAGUUAAUACCCGAGGUCCACUUAGUACCCGAAUAUAUCUGAACCUUAGUAAGUAUAUACAUAUUUCCCCUUUUAGUAUGCGAACCUAAACUUAUGUCUACUUUGCUCUCAUGAAGAACUUAAACCUAUCCGAACCUUAGUAAGUAUACAUAUUCCCCUCUUUAGUACGCGAACCUAAACUUAUGGUUUCUUUAUUUUGGUAUGAUUAUUAUAAUUUCAUGUAAUUUUAAUUUAGUUUUCCAACUUAUAUUUCGAAUUAUUUUGGUUUUAAUCGGUUGAAAGUACUUAUACAGAACCGUAACAACAAAAUAUCGGGUAUAUAUACCUGAACCCAAAAAAGAUCGAACCGAAUACGAACAUAAUUUUUGUAAUAUCCUAAUCAUUCCAAAACAUCUAGUACCGAAAUACCCGAACUGAACGUGAACCGAUACCCAAUUAUUGUUAAAAGUACGUUUAACAACUUUAUGUUAAAAUAUUUAAUUCGAUCGAAUCAGGCUUACAUUGAUGUCGGCUAGCUCUGAUAGAUUAUAAUGUCCCACGUCGGUUGCACAUUUGUAAGGAUGGUAUUUAUUUCAAUUAGAAAGUUUGAGAUGGAAGUAAAAAAAAAAGUUUGAGAUUACCACAUAUGACACAUUUUAUGAUGUUCAACUAUGUUAAAUUUUUAGGUUGGCUACUUAUAAGUCUAAUCAAUCGAUCAGUUUAGAACCUGGACUAAUCAAUUCAGAACAUUGACUAGCCAUACAAGAAUAUUUGACUAGCCAAAUUAUCAUUUCUUUAUUUGCAAAACUACCUGAUAAUUAUAUAAUUUUUUGGCAUUUCCAAACGACCCUCUUUCUAAUUUUCAUGCAUGAUUUCAAUGUGGGGUGACAAACAUAGGUCCACAAUGAUACACAGCAUUUCUUGAUCAUUGAGGUCCAGUGAAUUUUUAUAUCCAAUUAUAUCACCUCUUAAUACCACAUGACAUUACACAUGUGACAUGUCCAAUAGUAUUUAUUUUUUCCUUUUGAUUGUUUCUUUUCAAAAUGGAAAUACUAAAGUGUUUAUUUCCGCGCACUAUCUUGGCUCUUUGUUCGGAAUCGUUUGUCAAAUUCUGACUAUAAGCAAAUACAAACGGCCAAAACUCUCUCUUCAGAGCUUUUCACAAAUGGAGACUACAACAGUACUUCGCUCAACCUUCGGUCUCUAUGCCUUCUCAUCUUCAUCAAAUCUACGACAACGGACCUCAGCCGCGAAGCAUCGACUCACUUCGGUCAAAUCGGUAACAUCUACUACUCCUCAUCCUUCUAGGGGUGUUGGACGGAGACGGAAGAAUAAUGAUGAAAACGGAGCCACGGUGGCGAAUGUGGUCGAGAACCCGUAUUCGAAAGUGGAGGCGGCGCUUCCUGAUUUGAGGAAGAGCUUGUCGGAUUUUUUGGAGGAAGCGAGAGAUUUCGUGGGAGAUGGAGGAGGUCCACCUCGGUGGUUCUCUCAGUUGGAGUGUGGCGCUCAAGCUCGAGGCUCUCCUCUCCUCCUCUUUUUACCUGGUUCGUCCUAUAAAUCUUCAUUCGCCUUUCUAUCGUAAUAUAUAUGAAUGGAUCUCAACUCGCUUGUGGUGGUUGAGGAUCCGGGUUUCAAGACGUAAACUUGCAGAGGUUCCCGGUUGGUUGAGUUUAGUUAGGGUGAGUUUGUGGUAACAUGCAAAGAGCAUGGUCACCUUCGGAUUAGUCGGAAUUGACCUAGACAUGAUACCGAUAAUUCACUUUAGUUGAGUUGGGAUAGUUUCUACGGAUUUGAACUUUUAUUUCAUUUCCGUGGAACUUUGAAAUGUUUUAACAAAACUGAGAAAACUAAAACUUGCAGGGAUCGAUGGUACUGGACUAGGGCUCAUUCGCCAUCACAAGAAACUUGGGGCGUAAGUUAUUUUACUUUUUUUUUUCUUUUUCUAUAUGGUUUAUUCAUUUCCUUAAACGUUUGCAUUAGCUUUUCCAUUUUUUGCAACAUUCCCUGUAUCUUCAAGAAUAUGGUUUCUCUGUUUUUGUAACUUUGCUUUUAGGUAGUUUUGAAGUAUAAGGGAUCUUUAUUUGUAAAGAAUUUUGUCUUUGUAUAGGAUUUUUGAUAUAUGGUGCCUUCACAUUCCAGUCAGCGAUCGUACUCCUGUUAAAGGUACCUUUUCGUCGCCCCUUCGAAGCACUACCGAGAAGAUAGUUAAUGCGAGUUAAAGCCUUUUCGUUUGUGUUCUGUUUUCAGAGUUGGUGAAGCUUAUUGAGAAGACUGUUAAGUCGGAGCACUAUCGUUUCCCAAAUAGACCAAUAUAUUUAGUUGGAGAAUCUAUUGGAGCAUGUCUUGCUUUAGAUGUUGCUGCCAGGAAUCCUGAUAUUGAUCUUUCUCUGAUCUUGGUUAAUCCAGGUACAAAUCUCUCGGUCUAUAGGAUUCUUAGUCGGUGAAUGUCAAAAAUCUUUUCUCAUCAUAGAUACUGUUUGUUGCAGCCACACAUGUCAACAACUUCAUAUCGCAACCUCUAUCCGGAAUGCUGAAUGUUUUACCAGAUGGUAUUCCAACACUAUUGGAAGAUAUCUUCGGUGUUAAGCAAGGUACACCUUUAUUCUCUUCUCAUAUUCUAUCUUGAAUCAUCAGUUAACCAACUAAUUGAGUUUCAAGUUGGAUCUUAAAACGUUAUGUUCAGUUUUAGCAACUUGUUCAAGAACUUAUUCAAACACGUGUUUCUUUGUCACGGUAGGCGAUCCGCUGACUGGAAUGUUAGACGCUUUGUCAAAUGAAUUUUCUAGCCAGCGAAUGGGCGGAGGAGGUGGAGGGAUGCUAAGAGACCUCCUUGCUGUUUCAGCUAAUCUUCCUGUAAGUAUUCCUUCUUAGAAACUCAUGAUCUAUGCGUUUUUC